GUCUGUUCAAACAUAGAUUCGUGAAGAUGAUCCUUCUCCUAGUAAUAAUCAGAUGACAUUUUAUCUUUUACCUAUAACUAUUCUUGUUACGGAUUUCUUAAAGGGCAGGAUCUUGAUGGUGUGCUUCCACCUUCCCUGGUGAAGCUACCCUACCUAAAGACGAUUGACCUCACUCGAAACUACCUCGCUGGUACAAUACCACCCGAAUGGGGUUCUACAAAGUUGGAAUACCUGUCCAUUACUGUAAACAAGUUAUCAGGACAAAUCCCAAACUACCUGGGAAACAUUACCACUCUUAUAUACAU